AACGAACGCUGGCGGCAGGCUUAACACAUGCAAGUCGAACGCCCCGCAAGGGGAGUGGCCGACGGGUGAGUAACGCGUGGGAACGUGCCCUUCGCUUCGGAAUAGCCCCGGGAAACUGGGAGUAAUACCGAAUACGCCGUAUUGGGAAAGAUUUAUCGGCGAAGGAUCGGCCCGCGUUAGAUUAGCUAGUUGGCGGUGUAAUGGACCACCAAGGCUACGAUCUAUAGCUGGUCUGAGAGGAUGAUCAGCCACACUGGGACUGAGACACGGCCCAGACUCCUACGGGAGGCAGCAGUGGGGAAUCUUGGACAAUGGGCGCAAGCCUGAUCCAGCCAUGCCGCGUGAGUGAAGAAGGCCUUAGGGUUGUAAAACUCUUUCGCCGGAGAAGAUAAUGACGGUAUCCGGAGAAGAAGCCCCGGCUAACUUCGUGCCAGCCGCCGCAGUAACAC
rnacentral:rRNA from 1 species